UACGAAGGGGGCUAGCGUUGCUCGGAAUCACUGGGCGUAAAGGGUGCGUAGGCGGCCGAUUAAGUCGGGGGUGAAAGCCUGUGGCUCAACCACAGAAUUGCCUUCGAUACUGAUUGGCUUGAGACCGGAAGAGGUCAGUGGAACUGCGAGUGUAGAGGUGAAAUUCGUAGAUAUUCGCAAGAACACCAGUGGCGAAGGCGGCUGACUGGUCCGGUUCUGACGCUGAGGCGCGAAAGCGUGGGGAGCAAACAGG
rnacentral:rRNA from 1 species